GCUUGUCUCAAAGAUUAAGCCAUGCAUGUCUAAGUAUAAGCGUUUAGUACAGCGAGACUGCGGAUGGCUCAUUAAAUCAGUUAUAGUUUAUUUGAUGGUCAAUUUUACUACAUGGAUAACCGUGGUAAUUCUAGAGCUAAUACAUGCGUAAAGUCCUAACUGUCAGCAAUGGCCGGAAGGGAUGUAUUUAUUAGAUUAAAAACCAAUACGGGUUUCGGCUCGUUCCAAUGGUGAUUCAUAAUAACUUCAGCGGAUCGCAAUAUACCUUUCGGGGUGGCGACGGUUCAUUCAAAUUUCUGCCCUAUCAACUUUGGAUGGUAGUAUAGAGGACUACCAUGGUGAUAACGGGUAACGGAGAAUUAGGGUUCGAUUCCGGAGAGGGAGCCUGAGAAAUGGCUACCACUUCUAAGGAAGGCAGCAGG
rnacentral:rRNA from 1 species